UUUCUUUAAAAGUUCAGUAAAUAUAAACUCUAAGUUUCAAUAGAAAAUCUUUAGAAACACCUUAAAAUAAUUAAAACAGUAUUUUGCAUCUCUUUGUAAUCACUAUGCCCAGGAAGUUCAAAGCCAUACAAAUCCUUGUACUAUUAAGAGUAAUAAGCUUCUGUUACUUAGAAAACAUCCUUGGUUAAAGCAUUGGAAUCCAGUUCAUAUCAGGAAACGAGUGGGAUUUAGAAUACCCUGAGCAAUAAUAUCCAGACUCAUAUCACCAUUUUUAUAAACAUGUCAGUUGAAUUUUUGCUCCACUAAUUAUCCUUUUUAUAUUAUUUCCAUUUAAAUUUAUGUUUGCAAUUGUGGGUCUUUUAUAGCUGAAGAUCACAGGCAAGCCACACAGAGUUCUGAGCCAUCUUUUACACUUUUAUAAUUGGGCUUAUACCAAAUGGUCUAGUGUCUUAUUAUUGAUUAUUCAAGGGCUUUGGUCAUUCGUGGCAGCAAGACUUAAUGGUUUUUAGCCAGUGGUGCCACAGCCAGAUUUCACUGUAAUAUCUAAAGGGUCAAGUAGUGUUUUUGUACCACUAUAAUUUUAAAUGUGGGUAUUCUGCCAUGGAGCAAUCUGUACUGGGAUAAACCUGACAUGUGUAAUACUCAAUAUUAAGAUUUAUCUCUGCUUGGGAGCUCCUUAGAAUAAUGAGAGCUGCAAUGUUGACUCUUGUGUUCUUAGGAUUUAAAUGGCAUAGCUUUCUGAAAUGAUUUUGUCCAAGUUUAAUAGUACAAUGUAGGAGCUUUGUAACUUUAGUUUCAGUGUUUUUGUUUUGCUAAAAAAGUAUAUUUUAUAUAUACA